CCUGGAAUGGUUUAUGUUUCAAAUAAUUUAUUGCCGUAGGAUGGGACUGCGGCCUAUCAGUUUGUUGGUGAGGUAAUGGCCCACCAAGACUAUUACAGGUACGGGCUCUGAGAGGAGUAGCCCGGAGAUGGGUACUGAGACACGGACCCAGGCCCUAUGGGGCGCAGCAGGCGAGAAAACUUUGCAAUGUGCGAAAGCACGACAAGGUUAAUCCGAGUGGUUUCUGCUAAAGGAACCUUUUGUCAGUCCUAGAAACACUGAUGAAUAAGGGGUGGGCAAGUUCUGGUGUCAGCCGCCGCGGUAAAACCAGCACCUCAAGUGGUCAGGAUGAUUAUUGGGCCUAAAGCAUCCGUAGCCUGCUUUGUAAGUUUUCGGUUAAAUCCAUACGCUCAACGUAUGGGCUGCCGGGAAUACUGCAAAGCUAGGGAGUGGGAGAGGUAGACGGUACUCGGUAGGAAGGGGUAAAAUCCUUUGAUCUAUUGAUGACCACCUGUGGCGAAGGCGGUCUACCAGAACACGUCCGACGGUGAGGGAUGAAAGCUGGGGGAGCAAACCGGAUUAGAUACCC
rnacentral:rRNA from 1 species